GGCAGAUCCGUCCCUUCUCUGUCAAUAGGAACAGAGCCACAAAGGUCACGAUUUUUCAUCGUCAACAAGAAACAGUGAGUGGGCAUGGUGCGUCGUGAGGGGGCUCAUUCACAUGGUGAACGCGCUCACACCCAGGGGCACGAGGCUGGGUGCCGCUGCCGUGGGACGUUCGGAAGCAACAGGCAGAACCUCUCGAGGUCGUACGCACUCCGAGAGGACCCGACGGGCCUGGGGGGAAACAGUCAAGGGGUGUGUUGUCCUCUCCGUUUGUGAGAGGUGAGUCGGUGAGCCACGCCAUGAGUUAGGCAAGAAAAUGUCUGACUGGUGAUGAUUGCAUAACGACCCCAGGAAGGAAGGACGGACUUUGGCGUCUUGAUGAGACGUGUAAGGGUCUCCUUUUCUCCUCCGUAAAAUUAGUCCCUCGCCGUGGAGAUGGAGUCAUCAUUCUAAAAAGCAGCUGGCAAUUUGCCAUCCAUUUUCAAAUUCUUUUAAUGAGGUGAUUGCGGAAAAAGACGAGUCGGAGAGAGUGUGCGAGAGAGAGCGAGAGACUUUUGAAAGCACAUUAAAGGCAGUUGUUUGAGAAGCCGUGAGAGUCUCCGUCAAGAGUGAUCUGGAAAAAAUUGCCAAGAGCAUUCACGUUGGCUCAGCAAAUAAACGGCCCCUGGAGAA